rnacentral:sRNA from 1 species
CAGGUCCUGCUGGCAUCCGCGGAGGUGAGACGGUGAUCAGAGCUGGGAUGGGAGACUCCCCAGGCAGAGGGGCACCCGAGAGGAGGCACAAGGCCCAGCCUGGCCGGGCUAGGAAGUAUGAAUGGAGACCAGAAGGCCCCACCAGCAUGGGCAGCCUCGGCCAGAGAGAAGAUCUCCAAGAUGAGGACAGGAACUCAGCAUUCACCUGGAAGGUCCAGGCCAACAACCGCGCCUACAACGGGCAGUUCAAGGAGAAGGUGAUCCUGUGCUGGCAGAGGAAGAAAUACAAGACCAACGUCAUCCGCACGGCCAAGUACAACUUCUUCUCGUUCCUGCCGCUGAACCUGUACGAGCAGUUCCACCGCGUGUCCAACCUGUUCUUCCUCCUCAUCAUCAUCCUGCAGAGCAUUCCCGACAUCUCCACGCUGCCCUGGUGCUCGCUCAGUACCCCUAUGGUCUGCCUCCUCUUCAUCCGUGCCACCCGGGACCUGCUGGACGACAUGGGGAGACACAAGAGUGACAGAGCCAUCAACAACAGACCCUGCCAGAUUCUGAUGGGGAAGAGCUUCAAGGAGAAGAAAUGGCAGGAUCUGUGCGUGGGGGAUGUGGUCUGUCUCCGCAAGGACAACAUCGUCCCAGCCGACAUGCUCUUGCUGGCCAGCACGGAGCCCAGCAGCCUGUGCUAUGUGGAGACGGUGGACAUUGACGGGGAGACCAACUUGAAGUUCAGACAGGCCCUGAUGGUCACCCACAAAGAACUGGCCACUAUAAAGAAGAUGGCGUCCUUUCAAGGUGCUGGCCAGGCCCAGUGGCUCACGCCUGGAAUCCCAGCACUGUGGGAGGCUGAGGCAGGAGAAUCACUUCAGCCCAGGAAUUCAAGAC